UCUUAGAGCCAUGCCACCCUGAACAAGCCCGAUCCCGUCUGAUCUCAGAAGCUAAGCAGGGUCGGGCCUGGUUAGUACUUGGAUGGGAGACCACCUAGGAAGAUCAGAUGCUGUAGGUG
rnacentral:rRNA from 1 species